UACAGAGGGUGCGAGCGUUGUCCGGAAUCACUGGGCGUAAAGGGCGCGUAGGUGGCGGCCCAAGUCUGUGGUGAAAGCUCGCCGCUUAACGGCGAGUCGGCCACGGAGACUGGGUGGCUCGAGCACUGUAGGGGCAGAUGGAAUUCCGGGUGUAGCGGUGGAAUGCGUAGAGAUCCGGAAGAACACCAGUGGCGAAGGCGGUCUGCUGGGCAGUUGCUGACACUGAGGCGCGAAAGCGUGGGGAGCAAACAGG
rnacentral:rRNA from 1 species